ensembl:lincRNA
CGCGCGCAGAUGGUGCCACGUGAGGAAGGGGCUGCAGAAUGAAGCCUAGAGGAUGAUGCCACUCGUGUCAAGCACACGGAGCACUGCACACCCCGUGUGGAUACACACAUGCACAAGUGUAACACGAGGGUUUACACUAGCUAAAUGUUGACGGUUACCUCUGGGGAGGCAGCUGGAGCAGUCGGAGCUAAAGGGGACUUUCUUCAAUGCUUGCUUUUGCUAAAAGAAAUAAACCUGAAGCAACGGUGAGCUAAUAUUAAUACAGCCAGCCAUCUGGCAGCUAUUUAAGGGAACUACCAUGUGACACACACAGCUUCCCAGCAGGAACCAAGCACCUUCCUUCGUGGACUUCAUGCCUGCCAGGAAGUUGCACAUGAACAAAUACAGAAGUAAAUGUCGCUAGCGCAGUCUUAUCUAAUGAAGUGGGACUUGCAUUUUUCUAUCUUUUUUAAAAUUUCAAGUUUCUAACAAUUUUUCUUUUCCACAAGCACUGGUCCAAGAUGGACUGCAAAUAUAAAAACUGCUCUUCACCACAGAGAGCGCAAGCGGCGCUGACAGAGAAGCACUAUGAAGCUGACAACAGGGACGGGGCUACUGACGUGGCUGCGCAGGACUGGUCAAAGGCCUGUGGGAAGAGGUGUCGUCUGGGCAAAGACCUCAGGGACUCGCAUGCCGCGCAGAGGCUGGAGGGAAGACCACUGCAGGCCCGUGAGAAGGCUAUCAGCAAGGCACUAUAGGGAGGGGUGCAGCAAUGUGGAGAGUACCAAGGGGGUCUGUGGAGAGAAGGAUGACUGCACUGCAGAGAGGCAGCCUGCCUCAAUGUAAUGUGUCCACUUGAGAUGUGAGGAACCAAAGAAGUCAAAUAGAAAAUUGUUGUGCAGAGCCAACCACGAAAACUUCAAAUACAGAUAUGUAUAAUAUUCCGUUAUUUUUUCAAGGCAUUACUUUACAUGUUAAAAAAAAAACUUCAAAAAUAAAAAUAGUAGUUAUUUAGCCUUGUGCACAUUUUGCAAUAAAGUUUCUUGAAUUUCUUUGGCAAAUUCCUCAAUCACUUCAACUUUUCAAGUAGAGUCAUCACUAAAAAGUCCCUCUGACAUGGGAUCUAUCCCACCAUGACAAAGCAGCUUCCUUCUUUGCUGAAAGUGAGAGUGGCUCGUUGUUGCUUCAGGAUCCCAAACCACACAUUCAAAGUCAUCCUGGUCUGCUAUCCAAUACUAUUUAUGUCAAACUGUAGGGGGACACCUCAAGGAACUUUCUUAUAUCAGAUGCUCCCACUUUGCUAAGAAUGAGGGCACAGCAGUCUGAGUUAAUCGUGGUUUCUGAGUUGCAGGGUACCGCACUGCUCCAGGAUUUUCAGUGGAUACAAUUAAAGUUCCUCCAUUUGUGGCAGAAGUCUGCUGUUGACAAGUUCUCUCUGCUACUACAUCAUCUAGCAGUUGUUGUGUUUAAGUGGGUCUGAACUUUCAGACCUCUUUGGAAAGGAAAGUUGUCUGUCAGACUUUUCUGAUGGCUUAAUUUAUUUCCACUUCUGGUAAAAUUGGCUGGGAUGUUAUUUUUUCUGCUUAACUGGUUAGGUCUCGAGAACUGCAACUGGUUUCUUUUGCACUUCAUUUUGUCUUGGUCUGCCUUCCUUUUUAACACAGGAAAAUAUCGCUCUAUGUUCUUGUCAACUAGGUGACCACCUAAGGGUGGUUGAGUCAUAGGACAAAUUUCUUUUCGAAUUCCUAGCUGGAAGACCAGUGACAGCCCCAUAAGGACAUCUCCUUCCAGGCAUUACUCCACAGCUAAGACUAUUCUUACCAAAACCAGAAUUCUGCUGGAUUCCCCAUCAUCUUCUCAUCCUGAAUUGCUGGGUACCACGUGGUUGGAGCCUUCUAUUUAGUCUUAGAAAUUUGUGCUUCUUUCCUACCUUUUGAUUCAGUUUGAUUACAUUAUCCAAAGAUGUAUCGAUUUCACCCAGGUUUUCAUUGCUGCAAGUUUUCGUUGGCUCUCGACCAAGAGGUGCGGCUAAGGCCUGCCACCUCCACUCAGGCAUACAGACUAGCUGCACCAUGGGAGCAUGAACAGGUCCCUAGCGACACUUUUCACCCUGAACAGUAUUUUAAUAAGUACACAGAAAGGCCUAACUGGAUAAUCUUAUAAUUCAACUGGAUUAUUCCUUUAACUACUUGAAUUGUGCUAUUCUUUAAUGAACCUUAAAUAAACU